rnacentral:lncRNA from 1 species
UCAUCUCUCUUCUCUCACUCCCUCUGUCACACACCCACACACACACAUGCAUAGCGAGUAGCCGCAGCAGUUACGGUCAACGCCGCUCCGCCGCUGACUAGCAGCAAGUAGCCGCCACCGCCUGUUCAGGUAACCUUAGCGCUCUCUCACUCUCUCUCUCUCUCUCUUCUUUUUCUUUUUCUCACUUCCCCUUUUCAAGAAAAAUCUUCUUUUUUUUGUUCUUUUUGGAUUUUGGCUUGAAUUAGAGGAUAAGGAAUUGGAAAAUGAAAAACAAAAAAAAAAAAAAUCUUCUCUAACUGUAAUCACCAAUUCCUUGGAUUUGUUGAAAUUUGUGAAGAAGUAUGGUGGAAUUAAGAGGGGAUCUGCUAGUUCAAGUAGUGGAAAAUGAGCAGAGCGGUAAGUGAGGAAUGUCUCACCAGUUUCAAAGGCGGCGGCGGUUUUCAGAGAGAACAAAGGAGAGGGCGCCAUUGCCCGGUCUUCAAUAGCGGUGGCGGCAAUCUGUGAUGGGAGAGACUAGGGCUCGGUUUCUGUUUUCAUUUGGGCAUGUGUGAAUCCAUCUUGAGUACGGAG